GACGAACGCUGGCGGCGUGCCUAAUACAUGCAAGUAGAACGCUGAAGGAGGAGCUUGCUUCUCUGGAUGAGUUGCGAACGGGUGAGUAACGCGUAGGUAACCUGCCUGGUAGCGGGGGAUAACUAUUGGAAACGAUAGCUAAUACCGCAUAAUAGCAGUUGUUACAUGACAACUGUUUGAAAGGUGCAAUUGCACCACUACCAGAUGGACCUGCGUUGUAUUAGCUAGUUGGUGGGGUAACGGCUCACCAAGGCGACGAUACAUAGCCGACCUGAGAGGGUGAUCGGCCACACUGGGACUGAGACACGGCCCAGACUCCUACGGGAGGCAGCAGUAGGGAAUCUUCGGCAAUGGACGGAAGUCUGACCGAGCAACGCCGCGUGAGUGAAGAAGGUUUUCGGAUCGUAAAGCUCUGUUGUAAGAGAAGAACGAGUGUGAGAGUGGAAAGUUCACACUGUGACGGUAUCUUACCAGAAAGGGACGGCUAACUACGUG
rnacentral:rRNA from 1 species